rnacentral:rRNA from 1 species
GACGAACGCUGGCGGCGUGCUUAACACAUGCAAGUCGAACGAAGAGCGAUGGAAGCUUGCUUCUAUCAAUCUUAGUGGCGAACGGGUGAGUAACGCGUAAUCAACCUGCCCUUCAGAGGGGGACAACAGUUGGAAACGACUGCUAAUACCGCAUACUAUCUAACCUCGGCAUCGAGGAUAGAUGAAAGGUGGCCUCUACAUUUAAGCUAUCACUGAAGGAGGGGAUUGCGUCUGAUUAGCUAGUUGGAGGGGUAACGGCCCACCAAGGCGAUGAUCAGUAGCCGGUCUGAGAGGAUGAACGGCCACAUUGGGACUGAGACACGGCCCAGACUCCUACGGGAGGCAGCAGUGGGGAAUCUUCCGCAAUGGACGAAAGUCUGACGGAGCAACGCCGCGUGAGUGAUGACGGCCUUCGGGUUGUAAAGCUCUGUUAAUCGGGACGAAAGGCCUUCUUGCGAAUAGUGAGAAGGAUUGACGGUACCGGAAUAGAAAGCCACGGCUAACUACGUG